UACGGAGGGUGCAAGCGUUAUCCGGAUUCACUGGGCUUAAAGGGUGCGUAGGCGGACAGGUAAGUCAGUGGUGAAAUCUCUGGGCUUAACUCAGAAACUGCCGUUGAUACUAUUUGUCUUGAAUGUCAUGGAGGUAAGCGGAAUAUGUCAUGUAGCGGUGAAAUGCUUAGAUAUGACAUAGAACACCGAUAGCGAAGGCAGCUUACUACAUGAAGAUUGACGCUGAGGCACGAAAGCGUGGGGAGCAAACAGG
rnacentral:rRNA from 1 species